CCAAACAACAAAAGCAUGUUACAUGUAGUCUUUCUGAAAUGUUUUCUGUCACCCUCCAUCAUCAGGUGGGCCCAGCGGUGGAUGCCAUACCAACCGUACCGUACUGACCAAAUGUGGGGGCGUUUCCUUUGCGCUUUCUCGCAUACAUUCAACUAUCUGUUCUUGCCUUUCAGCUGGGCAAGUGGAGCACUCGAUCCUGAAGGCGCUGCUGCUCACAAUAGCUUGACAUCAAUCAAGAGGGGUGUCUGGGCUAUGAUUGCAGCCUUCCUUGCCUACUGCACGCUUCAGGCACCUUCAACGAUACUUAUUAGGCCCCACCCUGCUGUCUGGCACCUGGUACAUGGACUGGCUGUCGUUUACCUCGUUGCUCUUAUCUUCCUCCUUUUCCAGAAUCGUGACGAUGCUCGCCAGUUCAUGAAACUCCUUCACCCUGAUCUUGGAGUUGAAUUGCCAGAGAGAACUUAUGGAGCUGAUUGUCGUUUGUAUGUUCCAGAAAACCCUAAAAACAAGUUCAUAAAUAUUUAUGUAUGAUUUUUUUGUAUGAACCUUCCUACUCUAUGAAGACGCACAUGCUUUGCUCUA